rnacentral:rRNA from 1 species
UACGGAGGAUCCAAGCGUUAUCCGGAAUCAUUGGGUUUAAAGGGUCCGUAGGCGGUCUAAUAAGUCAGUGGUGAAAGCCCAUCGCUUAACGAUGGAACGGCCAUUGAUACUGUUAGACUUGAAUUACUGGGAAGUAACUAGAAUGUGUAGUGUAGCGGUGAAAUGCUUAGAUAUUACAUGGAAUACCAAUUGCGAAGGCAGGUUACUACCAGUGGAUUGACGCUGAUGGACGAAAGCGUGGGGAGCGAACAGG